rnacentral:rRNA from 1 species
GACGAACGCUGGCGGCGUGCUUAACACAUGCAAGUCGAACGGAAAGGCCUGCUUUCCCUUGUGGAUUGCGGGUGCUCGAGUGGCGAACGGGUGAGUAACACGUGAGUGAUCUGCCCCCAACUUGGGUAUAAGCCUGGGAAACUGGGUCUAAUUCCCGAUAGGACUGCAGGGUGGUGCCUGUGGUGGAAAACGAUUUUCUAGUGGUUGGGGAUGAGCUCGCGGCCUAUCAGCUUGUUGGUGGGGUAAUGGCCUACCAAGGCGGCGACGGGUAGCCGGCCUGAGAGGGUGGACGGCCACAUUGGGACUGAGAUACGGCCCAGACUCCUACGGGAGGCAGCAGUGGGGAAUAUUGCACAAUGGGCGGAAGCCUGAUGCAGCGACGCCGCGUGGGGGAUGACGGCCUUCGGGUUGUAAACUCCUUUCGACCGCGAGGAAGCCACCUGGUUGGAAGGGUGGUGACGGUAGUGGUAGAAGGAGCACCGGCUAACUACGUG